rnacentral:rRNA from 1 species
GACGAACGCUGGCGGCGUGCUUAACACAUGCAAGUCGAACGGAAAGGCCCUGCUUUUGUGGGGUGCUCGAGUGGCGAACGGGUGAGUAACACGUGAGUAACCUGCCCUUGACUUUGGGAUAACUUCAGGAAACUGGGGCUAAUACCGGAUAGGAGCUCCUGCUGCAUGGUGGGGGUUGGAAAGUUUCGGCGGUUGGGGAUGGACUCGCGGCUUAUCAGCUUGUUGGUGGGGUAGUGGCUUACCAAGGCUUUGACGGGUAGCCGGCCUGAGAGGGUGACCGGCGACAUUGGGACUGAGAUACGGCCCAGAGCCCUACGGGAGGCAGCAGUGGGGAAUAUUGCACAAUGGGCGGAAGCCUGAUGCAGCAACGCCGCGUGCGGGAUGACGGCCUUCGGGUUGUAAACCGCUUUCGCCUGUGACGCAGCGUGAGUGACGGUAAUGGGUAAAGAAGCACCGGCUAACUACGUG